UACGGGGGGGGCAAGCGUUGUUCGGAAUUACUGGGCGUAAAGGGUUUGUAGGGGGCUUGUUAAGUCAGACGUGAAAUCCCUCAGCUUAACUGGGGAACUGCGUCUGAUACUGGCGAGCUUGAGUGCAGGAGAGGAACGCGGAAUUCCAGGUGUAGCGGUGAAAUGCGUAGAUAUCUGGAGGAACACCGGUGGCGAAGGCGGCGUUCUGGACUGCUUCUGACACUGAAUAACGAAAGCCAGGGGAGCAAACGGG
rnacentral:rRNA from 1 species